rnacentral:misc_RNA from 1 species
AAUUCUCAACCUUUUCAGCUUUUGCAAGUUGAAUUUGGCUUGGAUGUGGAGGUUGCGGGCUUCUCAGAAGUCGGCUCUUCUUAAAUGCAUUAGCGGAACCUUUGUGGACCAGCUUUGGUGUGAUAAUUAUCUACGCCACUGUUGUGAAACAGCUUUACAUGGGGUUCAGCUUCUAACUGUCCAUUGACUUGGACAAUUUUUGACA